UACAGCUUCACUCUGCCACUUCCAUUCACAGCCAGAAUCUCUCAGGAUCCAUUCUGUGAGUUUUACUGAGGAGGUUUUCAUUGCGUUGUGAUUGUCAAAUCAGCUUUAUACUUUUUGUAUUUUUUCCUAGAAGUAUUCUAUAUAUACGGGCUAAUACCUGAAUCAGAAAUAGUCCUGAUUGUAAGAUCUGGAUAUCUUAUUCAGGCAGUGCGUCAAAAUCUGACUGCCAGUAUUUUUAAAGGGAACCUCAAUCAAUAGUCCCUAUAAGGAGCUCCACAAAGGAGUCUCGAAUAAUUAUCUUUAAGAAUUUUAUAUCUAGGACCAUUAGGAUUCCAAAAAUGAACCACCAAGAAAGCUCCUAUCGGGAGCGAACUUAAGAGAAUCCCUUUUUAUCACUAUAUCCAAGGUUGUGAUUCUCCACACACAAAUCUAUUAAUGGCAAAUAAGGCUGUUUUAUAUAUUUGUUACCCCUGUUGAAGUCGAUAAGACGAAACGCGUUGGAUUUGUCAGUCAGGAGUUUCCAGCAUAGUUUGUGAAGAUACUCCCUCUUACGCUCGCACCUUGAAAAAGGUGAGGGAGUAUCUAGAGUUAAAGACCACACAACUAACAUACUGGUUAUCCUUUAUUGUCAUCAUUUUAAACACAUCUUUGUGAACACUAUAUGAGGAAUUUUAUGUGAAAACAGUAUUUGUUUUAACGUGUUAUUAAAACAAUUUUUUACUAAUUGGCCUUGGGCCUCUUGUUUGGGUGACCAUCUUGGUGAGGGGUGUCUGUUACAGGUUCCCAGAAACACAUCUUCUCCAGUAUUCAAGUCUGACUUAUGGAAACAACACUGGAAGAAUCAUUGUAGAUACAGUCUUAUUUAGCGCACUUGGGAAACUGUUUUUUAUUCUGUAUGCUAUUGAGGUCCUCCAACAGGGACCUCUCCCGUUGUGCUGCUUUGAACUUGGCGCAAGAUAAAGAUACUGUUGUUAUAUAUAUUAGUAUGUGUGUGUGUGGACGUCCUGAGAUUUUUAUAUACAACGCAGACAUGUGUACAUACACAUGUGUAUAAUUAUUUCACAAAAACAUUGAUAUGGAUAUACAUUU